CCAAGCAGCACACCAUUGUGCAGCUCAUUGGAUCUCCUGGGAAAGUGGCACUAAGGCAGCUUUGCUUCUCUCUGCAGUUUUGCUCACCCAGCUGCAGUAACUGGCAUGCAGUGGAAGAAGGCUGAGCUCCUUACUCUUCCAUGACACAUGUAGCAGUGGAACAAAACCCUGGGAGUGUGACCCAGAGGAUGAAAAAGAAUGUAGCUGUGCAACCCAGCGUGUGAGCGAGUUUAUCAAAUACAAGGCAGCAGCCAGAACAACAGGAAAUCGCAUAAGAAAGCCCAACUCCUGGUUGGCAGAAGCACAUUGACCUCUCCUUCAUGUCACUGGGUUUAAUACUCCAACUUCACUGUAAAAGCUUCUUCCCUGAGCCUGGGUUCAUAAACGUGUUAGUGGUCCUUGAUGUUCCCAGCAGAGGACAGUAAGAAAAACACAGCCCUGAAUAGCUCACAUUGAUUGCAGCAAAUACAGAGCAGGAGGGUCAGAACCAUUUCCCAGCCCAGAGCCAGUGCUGUAGAACUGAGCAGCUAUUCAUAGCCACUGGAUCCUCUCCAAGCCGUUAAUUUCCACAUGGAGCUGGAGAAAUUCUAUCCCCGGUUUGUGAAGUAUGGGUCAGCCGAAGCAUGUUAAUCUGUUUAGCAUGUGUGCUUCGUGGAGGUGCCAGACCACCGCCGUGCAGGAGCAGAAGCAGCAGCAACCAUAGUCCUUAGGGGUAGUUAAUAAAGACUUAAAGGGAAACAAGUUUAUAAAGGUUUCAGUUCGUGCACCGUGCCAGCUUUGGACAUUACAGGCUUCCAGCUCUGAGGAUCAGAAAGCUGAGAAAUCCCGCGGCUAUUUGUCGCAGCCCUAGAAGGCAGAGCGCCGGUGACGCAGCCGGGGGAAGGGGGCAAAGUGCCGUGGUGUUCCUUCGCCCCGUGAAAAGGGGGCACCAGCUGAGUCUCCCCAACCCUCUAGGGGCACCCCGAGCUCCCGUGGCCCGCAUACACAUGAAUCUUCACUGCUUUGGGUAGAUAGAGAUGGUUUUGGAACCUCUGUUUUAACCUGCGC